UGAGAUGAUGGCCAUGUUUAAUCAUGAGGGAGAUCUAAGUUUCAAAGUGGCAGGUAUCACAAUUACGACAAACGGAGUCACUUUAAGAAAGAUCGCUGAUUAUUGAAGAAAGAGAAGCUAAAAAAACAAAUAUGAUUCCAGCUCGAACAAUGAGACGACAGCAAUUGCUAUGGGUGGAGAAGUGAUCGUUGUAUGUGGC
rnacentral:lncRNA from 1 species